rnacentral:rRNA from 1 species
GACGAACGCUGGCGGCGUGCUUAACACAUGCAAGUCGAACGGUGAAGGGGUCUGCUUUUGUGGGCCCUGGAUGAGUGGCGAACGGGUGAGUAACACGUGAGUAACCUGCCCCCUUCUUCUGGAUAACCGCAUGAAAGUGUGGCUAAUACGGGAUAUUCUGGGUCUGUCGCAUGAUGGGUCUGGGAAAGAUUGCGCCUUUGGGUGUUUUUGGUGGGGGAUGGGCUCGCGGCCUAUCAGCUUGUUGGUGGGGUGAUGGCCUACCAAGGCGGUGACGGGUAGCCGGCCUGAGAGGGUGGACGGUCCCACUGGGACUGAGACACGGCCCAGACUCCUACGGGAGGCAGCAGUGGGGAAUAUUGCACAAUGGGCGCAAGCCUGAUGCAGCGACGCCGCGUGAGGGAUGGAGGCCUUCGGGUUGUAAACCUCUUUCGCCAGUGAAGCAGGCCUGCUCCUUGUGGGUGGGUUGACGGUAGCUGGAUAAGAAGCGCCGGCUAACUACGUG